CCGCUGUUAAAAUAUGCGACAUGUGUCUGGUCACCGUACCUUAAAAAAGCCACCCGCAAACUGGAAUCUGUACAAAGAAGGGCCACAAAACUGGUAAACAAUAUUUAUCAUCUUAAUUACGAAGACAGACUACGUUCUUUCGGUUUGCCAACCUUGGAAUAUCGUAGGGAUAGGAAUAAUAUGAUAGAAGUCUACAAAGCG
rnacentral:lncRNA from 1 species